GUGGGUAGUUUGACUGGGGCGGUCUCCUCCUAAAGAGUAACGGAGGAGCACGAAGGUUGGCUAAUCCUGGUCGGACAUCAGGAGGUUAGUGCAAUGGCAUAAGCCAGCUUGACUGCGAGCGUGACGGCGCGAGCAGGUGCGAAAGCAGGUCAUAGUGAUCCGGUGGUUCUGAAUGGAAGGGCCAUCGCUCAACGGAUAAAAGGUACUCCGGGGAUAACAGGCUGAUACCGCCCAAGAGUUCAUAUCGACGGCGGUGUUUGGCACCUCGAUGUCGGCUCAUCACAUCCUGGGGCUGAAGUAGGUCCCAAGGGUAUGGCUGUUCGCCAUUUAAAGUGGUACGCGAGCUGGGUUUAGAACGUCGUGAGACAGUUCGGUCCCUAUCUGCCGUGGGCGCUGGAGAACUGAGGGGGGCUGCUCCUAGUACGAGAGGACCGGAGUGGACGCAUCACUGGUGUUCGGGUUGUCAUGCCAAUGGCACUGCCCGGUAGCUAAAUGCGGAAGAGAUAAGUGCUGAAAGCAUCUAAGCACGAAACUUGCCCCGAGAUGAGUUCUCCCUGAGACUAUAAGUCUCCUGAAGGAACGUUGAAGACGACGACGUUGAUAGGCCGGGUGUGUAAGCGCAGCGAUGCGUUGAGCUAACCGGUACUAAUGAACCGUGAGG
rnacentral:rRNA from 1 species